rnacentral:lncRNA from 1 species
AUAGAGUCUGACCGAAAUCGGAUUUCCUUUGCGUGCCAUAUGCCCUUGCAGUGCUGUCUUUUUCCCAUCUCUCUUCCCGGUCCAAUGUGUAAAGUAAACUCUCCAUGUUGACCAAAAGACAAACUUCUCUCUCUCUCUUUAUCUACGUUCUGCAAUUAGAUAGAACCUGUCGGUCUGAAACUGAACUCUUAGUUUCAAUA